rnacentral:rRNA from 1 species
AUGAAGAACGUAGCGAAAUGCGAUACUUGGUGUGAAUUGCAGAAUCCCGUGAACCAUCGAGUCUUUGAACGCAAGUUGCGCCAGAAGCCAAUAGGCUAAAGGCACGUCUGCCUGGGCGUCACGC